UCUUUCUGAUUGUUUAUACAGAUUGUUGAUUCAAUCAUAUCUCAUGGGAGUUUCUUAACUAAUAGUGUUAUAGAGCAUAGUGUUGUUGGUAUCAGAUCCUGGAUUAAUUCUAAUGUUCACUUAAAGGAUACUGUGAUGCUUGGAGCAGAUUUUUAUGAAACAGAAUCUGAAGUGGCUUCAUUGUUUGCUGAGGGAGGAGUUCCUAUUGGAAUAGGAGAAAACACAAAAAUCAAAGAAUGCAUCAUUGACAAAAAUGCAAGAAUUGGAAAGAAUGUUAUCAUUGCUAACUCAGAGGGGGUCCAAGAAGCUAA